rnacentral:rRNA from 1 species
UACGUAGGGUGCAAGCGUUAAUCGGAAUUACUGGGCGUAAAGCGUGCGCAGGCGGUCUUGCAAGACAGAUGUGAAAUCCCCGGGCUCAACCUGGGAACUGCAUUUGUGUCUGCAAGGCUGGAGUGCGACAGAGGGGGAUGGAAUUCCGCGUGUAGCAGUGAAAUGCGUAGAUAUGCGGAGGAACACCGAUGGCGAAGGCAAUCCCCUGGGCCUGCACUGACGCUCAUGCACGAAAGCGUGGGGAGCAAACAGG